UUUGUCCUCUGCCUCAGUGUUUGUGGUGAAGGUGGAUGGGGUAGGAGGCAUCUCCUCUGAUGUACCUCUAUGAGGUCCCGGAGGCAGCUUUGUCCUCGACCUAUCCCAUGAAGGUGGAAGGGGGAGGGAGGGGGGAGAAAUGAAGUGCGGCAGAGAAUCCAGGGCCAACCAGGUACCAGAGGCAGCUUUGUCCUCGGUCUAUCCCAUGUUGGCUGGUAAGGUGGAAGGUGGAUGGGGAAGGGACUUGCGCCACUGUUCUGCAUCAGUCAGGUACAAGGUGGAAGGUGGAUGGGGAAGGGACUUGCGCCACUGUUCUGCAUCAGUCAGGUACAAGAGGCAGCUUUUGUCUACGGCCUGAUUGCUGUGAAAUUGGAAAGUGGGUAGGUAAAGUCAGCUUUGACAGGGAAGCUGGAAGCCAUUCAGGUCCCAGAGGCAACUUUAUCCUAGGUCUAGGUAGUGUUGGCCUCGGAGGGGGAAGAAGAGCAAGGAAAGGAAAGUGCGUCAUAUGCAUCUUUAUUCUAGGCCUAUUUGGUGUUCAUUGCGGAGGUGGAGGGGGGUGGUGGUGAGAGAAAGAAAAUGCGUCAUAGGAUCCGGAGCUGUCAGUUUUGUCCUAGACAGGGCCGGUGUUGGCCGCGGAGAUGGAAGGGGGGCAAGGGAAGGAAAGUGCGUCAAAGGAUCCGGAGCUCUUAAUUUUGUCCUAGACAGGGCCGGUGUUGGCCGCGGAGAUGGAAGGGGGGAAGGGAAGGAAAGUGCGUCAUAGGAUCCGGAGCUGUCAGUUUUGUCCUAGACAGGGCCGGUGUUGGCCGCGGAGAUGGAAGGGGGGGGAAGGGAAGGAAAGUGCGUCAUAGGAUCCGGAGCUGUCAGUUUUGUCCUAGACAGGGCCGGUGUUGGCCGCGAAGAUGGAAGGGGGGGAAAGGAAGGGAAGUGCUUCAUAGGAUCGGGGGCCUGAACCACACAGCCAAAGAGGAAAGGUGAAAAUACAAUGUCAUAUAUUGCUACCAAAAAAAAAAAAAGGUAAUUAUUUGCACAGUCCUGAUCAGGUAAGACUUAAUACAUACUUAAUUGACAAUUAAUUUGCAUUUAUUGGGGGGAAGUGUUAAGUAUAUGAGGUUUAAAAGAAAUAUUUGUGCUCUUAGCAAUUUGAAGGUAUUACUAAGAAAAAUAUGCAGUGUCAUAAAAUAAAAAUAGAUUAAAAAAUAUAAACGUCCUAGCAUAUUAAAGCUGGGUAGGACCUCAGACAAGUCCCUAGAAUAUGGAAUGUCUCAGCUGGAAGGUGCUUUUUGAGCAAUGAAUGCUAGAGCUUGAAGAGAACUUGGAAUACAGAAUUUCAGAGCUGAGAAGGCAGUCAGGGUUCUAAAUGUUAAGAUUGGGAGUGAACUUAGAAGCCAGAAUAUCAGAGUCAGCUGGGCUCUUAGAACAUAAAAUGUCUGAGCUGAGAGGUAUUUUAGCUUCUAGAGUGCCUGAUCUGAAAAGGAUCUUGAGAACAAGGAAUAUUAGAGAUAGGAAGGACCUUAAAACUCAGAAAGUAGGAGAUCAUAACUAAGAAGACAGAGCCAGUGGGACCUUAGAAUAGAGAAUAUCAGAAGCAGGCCUUCGAAUAAAUGGUAUCAGAUGUAAGAAGCCUUUAGACCAUGGCUUCUUAAACUUUUUCUAUUCUUGACCCCUUCAGUGCUUUUUAAACUGUGGGUCUUGACCUUGUAUAGGAUUGAGACUUAGACCACAGAAUGUCAGAACUAAGGGUGUAUUUCAACCAUGCAAUAUCAGAGCUUUAAAAGCCCUCAGAACAUGAUAUGUCAUAAGUCAGAAGGGCCUUAGGAUACACAAUAUCAUAAUCUUGCUUAGCAAGAUAUUGAAAGUGAUAGGUUACUUUAAAAUAGUAAAGUAUAUGUUAUGAUAUGCAAAAUUUAUUUCAAUUAAAGUUAUACCAGCACAGUUUUGAUGUUCAGAAUUAAAAGUCUUGAACUAUAUUAAUAAAGGAGAAAGGUAAAAGUUUAGUGCUUUCUCUGACACUAAUGAGAUAAAUGUUAUUGAUAAUAAAUUGGUUAUGUUUAUUGAAAAUAUGAAGUGUUAAUGUUGAAAAAGGUCAUCAUUUGCGCUGGAUUGUUAAGAAAAAUCUGCAGUGUCAUAAAAAGAAAAGAAAAAACCUCAGGUAAGAGCUGGGUGGGGCUUUUGAACAUAAAAUGUCUAGGCUGGAAGGUGCCUUUCAGAGUAAAAUAAUGGCAAUGGGAGAAGGCUUAGAAUACAGAAUCUCAGAGUUGGGGGGGCAGGCUGCACACUGAAUGUCAAAUUUGGGAGUGGACACAGAAGCCAAAAUAUCAGACCUGGGAGGGGACUUAGAACAUGGAACAUACAUGUUCGUCCUGUAAUUGAGAGGUAUCUUAGCAUGCAGAAUGCCUGGGCUGAGGCUGUCAGGCCUGGGAAUAGUCCUUGAGAGGAAAUUCUCCAUUCUCGGAGGGCAAUAAGAACACACAAUAUCAUAAGCUGGGGUUCAAUGGUUUUUAUUAGCUUAGUUGAGUAAUUAUUGGAAGUGACUGGUUAAUUUAGAAAAAGAAUAACAGCAUAUUUAUUGGGUGAGAUGCAACAUAUAUUUCAACAUAAUUUAUGUCAGCAUAGUUUUGAUGUUCUGAAUUAAAAGUCAGGUCCUGAAGAACAGUAAUAAAUUCAGUGCCUUAUCUGGCUACCAGUAAUUCCCUGUAUGGCCUUGAUUAGGCAAGACUGCCACUGAUAACAGUGUUUUGGGGAAUGAAUUGGUUGAAUUUAUUGAAGGAAAUAAAGUAUAAUAAGUUUCAAAAGGUACACAUGCUUUGAAAUCAUUAUAGUGCUAAAAUACAUGUGCAGUGUGAUAAAAUCAAAAUAAAUAAAUAAAUGACAAGGGUAAAAACCCUGAUAGAUCCAAGCUGGGCAGAGUCUCAGAGCAUGCUGUAUUAGCUCAGGGAGGUUCUUAGAGCAAGGAAUUUCUGCCCUAUAAUGUGCUUUUUGAAGGGUCACGUAGAAAAUAAUGGAAGAGAGCUUAGAAUACAAAAUUUCACAGCUGGGAAAGUACUGAGUGUCAGAAAUGUGAAUGACCAUGGAAGUCAGAAUAUCAGACCUAACUGUACUCUUAGAACAUAAAAUGUCUCAACCUGGAGGCAUCUUAGAAUCAAGGACACUUCAACUGAAAGGAUCUUGAGAACAGGGAAUAUCAGAAGUAGGAGAGACUCUAAAACUAAUAAAGCAGGAGAUAGUGAAAGCCUGAGAACUCAGAAUGUCAGAGGUUGGAGAAUCUUAGAAAAAGUGUUAGCAGAACUGUGAGAAGCCUUCAAACACAGAAGGUUGAAAUCAUAGAAUGUUAGAGCUGGGAGGGCCCUUAGAAAAUAGAUUGUCAGAGUGGAAAAGGUGCUAAGAACAGGAAAUCUCAUAGGUGGAAGAGGGUUUUUUUAAAAAAUGUGUACAGUGAGGCAAGGUUUUAGGAAUGACAAUAUUAAAUGAUAUAUUUGGUAUGAGAUGAAAUACUUAUUUCAAUAUAAUUUAGAUCAACACAGAUUAAAACAUGUUCUGAACCACAUAUUCAAAGGGCAGAGGUACCCAACAAACCCAAAACCAUACAAAAAUAUAAUUCUAUGAGGUGACUUCGCCAGGAAAGACUGCUGUAGCUGUUUCUAAAAUUUUAAGCACACAGGAUUUUAAAUAACUGUAUUGCUAAGACAUAUGUAAUUUAAUAAAAAUUAAAAUGAGUAUGUAAAUUAAAAGUAAAAAAACCCAACAACCUAGAAUAUCAGAGGAGUGAGGAGAGGCUUAAGACCACAGGGCUAGGAGAUUCUUUAGAACAUGCAACGUCUGACUUGAAGACAUGGCUUUCAAGAGAAUAUACUGGAGGCUGGCUAUAGUUUAGUGAAUUUCAGAGGUAGGAGUAAUCUAAGAAUCACAGAAUGUCAGGGUGGGGAGGGCCUUUAAAACACAGAUUAUCAGAUCUGGGAAGGGCCUUCCAGUGUACAAUAUCAUAGCUAGGAAGAAGCUUUUUUUUUUUUUUUAAAUCUACUCAGUGGGCCAACAUAUUGGGAAGGAUAGUGGGCAAAGGUAUUGAGUGGAUCAGGUAAAUUAAAAAAAACAGUUACAAUGUAUAUUUAUGCUAUGAGAUACAACAUGUAUUUCAAUAUAAUUUACUUCUGUACAAUUUUGAUGCUCUGAAUUAAAAGUCAGGUCCUGAACAUCACCACAGUGGAAGGGUGAACAAUGCGUGUUCUGCAAAAAAAAAAAAUAUAAGCACGGAUCAGUGAGGUGGUGCAGCUCUGUCUUAAAACUCAGGGACCGAACUAACAGCCAAAAGGAAUUGGUGACAAUGUGUAGUGCCUUAUUUGGCUCCAUAAAAGAAAAAAAACGGGCAAAAAAGUAAUUCCAUUCAGUGCCUUUAUCUGCUCUGUGGUGAACCUUUGAAUUAAAACUCAGGUAUUAAACCAAUACAGCCAAAGAGAAAAAGGGGGGGGGAAUGCUGUGCCUUUUAUGGCUCUAAAAUAAGGAAAACCAGGCAAAAAAUAAUCCCAUGCAGUGCCUUGUUCUGCUCUGUGGUGAUCCUUUGAAAUAAAACUCAGGUAUUUAUUUGUCCAAUACAACUAAAGAGCGAAGAGAGAAACGCUGUGCCUUUUGUGGCUCUAAAAUAAGGAAAACCAGGCAAAAAAAUAAUCCCAUACAGUGCCUUGAUCUGCUCAGUGGUGAUCCUUUGAAUUAAAACUCAGGUAUUAAACCAAUAUAUCCAAAGAGGAAAAGGGGGAAAUGCAGUGCCUUCUCAGGCUCCAUAAAGUGGAAAAAAACCGGGUAAUAUAUGCAGUGCCUUUAUUUGCUCUGUGGUGAACUUUGAAUUAAAACUCAGGUAUUAAACCAAUAUAGCCAAAGAGAAAAAGGGGGGGAAUGCUGUGCCUUUUAUGGCUCUAAAAUAAGGAAAACCAGGCAAAAAAUAGUCCCAUGCAGUGCCUUGUUCUGCUCUGUGGUGAUCCUUUGAAUUAAAACUCAGGUAUUAAACCAAUACAGCCAACAGGAAAGGAAAAAUGCAGUGCCUUCUCAGGCUCCAUAAAUAGGAAACAAAACGGGUAUUAAAAUUAUUUCCAUACAGUGCCUUGAUUUGCUUUGUGGUGAUCCUUUGAAUUACAACUCAGGUAUUAAUCCAAUACAGCCAAAGAGGAAAGGGGGAAAUACAGUGCCUUCUCUGGCUCCAUAAAUAGGAAACAAAACGGGUAUUAAACUAUUUCCAUGCAGUGCCUUGACUUGCUCAGUGGUGAACCUUUGAAUUAAAACUCAGGUAUUUAUUUGUCCAAUACAACUAAAGAGUGAAGAGGGAAAUGCUGUGCCUUCUGUGGCUCUAAAAUAUGGAAAAAACAGGCAAAAAAGUAAUCCUAUGCAGUACCUUCUUCUGCUCUGUGGUGAUCCUUUGAAUUAAAACUCAGGUAUUAAACCAAUUCAGCCAAAGAAAAAGGGGGAAAUGCAGUGCCUUCUCAGGCUCCAUAAAAAGGAAACAAAACGGGUAUUAAAAUUAUUUCCAUGCAGCGCCUUGAUUGGUGCAGUGGUGCAGCUCUGUAUUCAAACUCAGGGACUGAACCAAUACAGCCAAAGGGGAUUGGUGAAAAUGAAGUGCCUUAUUUUGUUCCACAAAAGAAAAAAAACGGGCAAAAAAGUAAUUGCAGAAGUGCCUUGAUCUGGGGGCCGAGGAAUAGAGAGAGAGACAGGGUAAUUGGAACUCCAGUAAGAGCUUGGAAGAAAUUUAGAAUCCAGACUGCCGGAUCUGGAUGAACCCUGGAACUGGUAAUAUAAGAGGUCGUGAACCACACAAAGAGGAAACGUGAACAUACUGUGCCUAAUCUGGCUCCCCCCCUAAAAAAAAAAAAAAAGAAAAGAAAAAAACCCGACAAAAAAGUAAUCCCAUGCAGUGCCUUGAAGGGUCCUGAACCACACAGCCAAAGAAGAAAGUUGAACAUACAGUGUCUAAUCUGGCUCCAAAAAAAAAAAAAGAAAAGAAAAAAAAUGAAAAAAAAAAGUAAUUACAUGCAUUGCCAUGAUGGGACUGCUAUUGGCAUUUGUAUUAUUGGUAAUGAAUGGGGAGUAUUUUUGAAACAAAUAAGGUAGGUGUUAAGUAGAGUAUUUAAAAGGGACCGCAUUUUUGCUUUUAAAUAAUUUUAUUGAUAAGAGACAUUCAGUGUUAUAAAAUAAAAGAAAAUGAAAGUGAGAACAAAAAUAAAAUAGACUAUCAUACUAGGGCAUGGCCUUAUAUCAUAGAAUUCCAGAGCUUUGAGGGCCCUUAGAACAUAUAGUAUCUGGACUGGAAUAUGUCUCUCAAGAUGAAAUAUAGGGGCUGCUAGAGAGCUUGAAAGGCACUCAGGGUUCUGUAUGACAGAAAUUGAAAUUGACAACAUAGAAGCCAAUAUCAGGCCAGGGAGGUCACUUAGAACAUAAAAUGGCCCAGCUUGGAGGAAAUUUAGAAACACCAGUGCCUGAACUUGAUGAGGCCCUGGAGCCUGGAAUAUCAAAGGUUGGAGGGACCUUAGAUCUCAGAAAGUAGGAGAUGAUCUGAACCUGAGAACACAAAUUAUGCAAGUCAGCGGGAUGUUAAUCUAGAAAAUAUUGGGCCUGGGAGAAGCCAUAGAGAAGAGAUUGUCAGGGCUGGGAAGGGCCUUAGACAGAAUAUCAAAACAGAGAAGGAAUUUGAUUUUUUGAAUUUAGGUGCUCAGUGGGCAAGGUAUUUGGAGUGAAAGGUAAAUUAAAGAAAAUAAAAAAUAGCAAAGUAUAUUUAUAGAAUUAAACAUAACAUAUAUUUCAACAUAACUUACAUCAGCACAAUGGUGAUGCUGGAAAUUAUAACUCAGGUGCUAAACCCCACAGACAAAGAGCUAAGGUGAAUACACUGGACCUGAUCAGGCUUAAAAACAAAACCAAAAAGUGAAGUAAAAAAAAUCAAAAAAGUAAUUCCAUACAGUGACUUCAUGGGGUAAAACUGCUGUUGAUAUUACUAUUUUCUUGUUAAUGAUGGGGACUAUUUAUUGUUUAAAAAAAACUAAGGUAAGUAUACAGGAUUCAAAAGGACACCAUUUGUGAUUUUAAAUCAUUAUUUUGCUAAGACAUAUGUAACAUAAUGUAAUAAAACCAAAUAAUAAAAAAAUCCUAGAUUUUGAGAGGAAGGAGCAGCCUUAGAAUAUAAAAUAUCUAUAGACUAUCUAGUCCUUGUGGUACCUUUCAAGAAAAUAUAUUAGAAGUUAGCUAGAGUUUAGAAUAGGGAAUUUCAGCACUGAGAUAGCAGAUCCAGGCCUGAAUAUCAGAACUAGGAGUUGACACAGAAACCAGAAUAUGAGACCUAGGAUGCCACACAGAACACAAUAUAUCUGAGCUUGUAGGAAAUCUAGAAUCAAGAAUCCCAGAGUUGAAUGAGACUCUAGAACCUGAAAUACCAGAGGUAGAAGAGACUAUAGAAGACAAAUUGGCAGUUGGACUGAGCCUGGGAAUACAAAUUGUUUGAGUCAGUAGGACCUUAGCACACAGAAUAUCAACCAUAGAAUAUGUGAGAGCUGGGAAGGCACAUAGAACAAGGGAUGCCAGAACUAAGCAAGCCAUAAUUUAUAUUAGCACAGUGGUGAUACUUGAAAUUAAAAAUCAUGGCUCCAAACCCAUCCAGUGAAGAAAGGUUAAUAUAUGUCCAAAAUAAAACAGUGAAAAGGAAAAAAAUAACAGACCAAAAAAGUAAUUUCAUGCAGUGUUUUGAAGAGUCAAGGCUGCUGUAGACACAACUAUUAUUUUUACCAGGGAGUAUUUAUUGGAAAAAAAGUUAAUUAAAAAGAGAUACAAGUUUUCAGUUUUAAAUCAUUGUGCUGAGACCUGUAUGUAAUUUAAUAUAAUAAAACGCAAAAAACAGAGUAGGGAAGGGAUUUUGAACAUAAAAUGACAUGGUUGGGAAGAUCUUUACAAAAUGGAAUGUCUGACUUGGCCAAAGUUGGCUAGAGCUAAGAGUAGAGACUUUCUGCCCUGGGAAGGCAAUUUGGGCUCUGAAUGUCAGAACUGGACAUUGAAUUAUCAGCCAGAAUAUCAGACUAGUGAGGACAUGUAGAAGAUAAAAUAUCUGAAUUUGGAGGCAAUUUAGAUUCAAGAGCGCCUGAACUGCUUGGCACCUUCAGAGCUAGAAUAUCAAGAGUGGGAGGCACCUUACAACAUGGGAAGUGAGAGGAGGUCAGGGUUUGAGAACACCAGUUAUUCAAUUCAGUGGGAUCUGAGCAUGUAGAAGGUCAGACCUGGGAGAAAGCAUAGAGAAGAGAAUAGCCUAGCCCUCAGGGAAGAUUAAACAAGGGAUAUCAGAGCCAGGAAAACCCUUCGAAUAUACAGUGUCAGGACUAGGAGUAGCCUCAAAAGCACAGAUUGUCAGAGCUGGGAUAGUGCUGAGAAUGCACACUGUAGGGGCAGCUAGGUGGUGUAGUGGAUAGAGCAC